CUCCAACGAUCAAUCUCAUCUGCCUCAAAAAUAAUAUUAAUAAAAAUACUGUACUUCAUGACUCUAUUCUAGCAUCACGAUGUCAAAUAAUGGCUACAUUUGCUAUGCGAGUAUUUAAAAUCAUUCAUCAAUUUAAGUUCCUCCUUUGUGGGUUCAAUGUGACCACACCACACUUACCAGAGGGAACCCAUAUUGAGGAAAUGAAAGCAACAUCAAACUACAAUAUAAAUAAGUAUCUCAAAUACAAAUUUCCUGUCAUAGAAAUGUCAAUUAAUGAAUGAUUAAGAUUGGAGGCUCCAUUUUCAUGAUUUGAUUCCUUCUUCAAAGUGUCACACUUGGAAAUUUGCAAGAUCCAUAACCUACGAAAGUUCACAAAAGAAAAUAAAAACACAAAGCAUGGCCUUAAAUAAAAAUUAAAUAUUACUUUAACAUUUUUUUUAUCUGAAAACUUCAGAAAAUGAAUGACCGGAAGUGGUGUUUACAAAGUUAGCAUAUGACAUGUUAUUUAUAUCAUCAGUAAAUAACAUGUCAUUAACCCACUAUUGAUUGGUUUGGAUGAAGUGUGGUUGGAUUUGGGAUUGUUGAAUUGGUUCGGUGUUGUGGAUAUGGUUGGUUGUUGCUGAGACGUAGGUUUGAUUGGUACGGGUUGAAUUUACAACGAAAGCACUGAAUAUAUUUUUC
rnacentral:lncRNA from 1 species